rnacentral:rRNA from 1 species
GAGGAAUACCGAUGGCGAAGGCAGCCCCCUGGGCUAAGAUUGACGCUCAUGCACGAAAGCGUGGGGAGCAAACAGGAUUAGAUACUCUGGUAGUCCACGCCCUAAACGAUGUCUACUAGUUGUCGGGUCUUAAUUGACUUGGUAACGCAGCUAACGCGUGAAGUAGACCGCCUGGGGAGUACGGUCGCAAGAUUAAAACUCAAAGGAAUUGACGGGGACCCGCACAAGCGGUGGAUGAUGUGGAUUAAUUCGAUGCAACGCGAAAAACCUUACCUACCCUUGACAUGUACGGAAUUCUGCUGAGAGGUGGAAGUGCUCGAAAGAGAACCGUAACACAGGUGCUGCAUGGCUGUCGUCAGCUCGUGUCGUGAGAUGUUGGGUUAAGUCCCGCAACGAGCGCAACCCUUGUCAUUAGUUGCUACGAAAGGGCACUCUAAUGAGACUGCCGGUGACAAACCGGAAGAAGGUGGGGAUGACGUCAAGUCCUCAUGGCCCUUAUGGGUAGGGCUUCACACGUCAUACAAUGGUACAUACAGAGGGCCGCCAACCCGCGAGGGGGAGCUAAUCCCAGAAAGUGUAUCGUAGUCCGGAUUGUAGUCUGCAACUCGACUACAUGAAGUUGGAAUCGCUAGUAAUCGCGAAUCAGCAUGUCGCGGUGAAUACGUUCCCGGGUCUUGUACACACCGCCCGUCACACCAUGGGAGCGGGUUUUACCAGAAGUAGGUAGCUUAGCCGCAAGGAGGGCGCUUACCACGGUAGGAUUCGUGACUGGGGUGAAGUCGUAACAAGGUAGCCGUAUCGGAAGGUGCGGCUGGAUCACCUCCUUUCUG